GAUCAAAGAAGAACCAAAGCCUCAGCCUGCACAGUGGUUUAGUGGGAUCAGUGAGCUGGUAAAUAACGUCCUUCAACCACAGCAAAAGUCCCAAAAUGACAAGCAGCCAGAGCCAGACGCGAAGUUGCACCAGCAGUUUGAGUCAUAUAAGGACCAGGUUAAGAAGAUGGGAGACGAGACAAAGCCGGUCCAGGACCAGAAGAGUGAAG